rnacentral:rRNA from 1 species
UACGUAGGGUGCAAGCGUUGUCCGGAAUUAUUGGGCGUAAAGAGCGUGUAGGCGGCCCGAUUAGUCCGCUGUGAAAGUCCAGGGCUCAACCCUGGGAUGCCGGUCGAUACUGCCGGACUAGAGUUCGGAAGAGGCGAGUGGAAUUCCCGGUGUAGCGGUGAAAUGCGCAGAUAUCGGGAGGAACACCAAUGGCGAAGGCAGCUCGCUGGGACGUUACUGACGCUGAGACGCGAAAGCGUGGGGAGCAAACAGG